GUCUCCGUGGUUUAGUUGGAAGAAUACCCGACUAUGGUGCGGUAAAACUCGGGUUCGAGCCCCGGUGAAAGGCA